CCAAUAGCGUAUAUUAAAGUUGUUGCAGUUAAAAAGCUCGUAGUUGAAUUUCGGGGUUCUACCGUUGGUCGGGCUUUGUCUGUACUGGCGUGUAGAAUUUCUACCUUCUGGGGAACUAUCAUGUUAUUAAUUUGACGUGGUGGGAAACCAGGACCUUUACCUUGAAAAAAUUAGAGUGUUCAAAGCAGGCUUAUGUCUGAAUACAUUAGCAUGGAAUAAUAGAAUAGGACGGUGGUCCUGUUUUGUUGGUUUCUGAAUCACCGUAAUGAUUAAUAGGGAUAGUUGGGGGCAUUAGUAUUCAAUUGUCAGAGGUGAAAUUCUUGGAUUUAUUGAAGACUAACUUCUGCGAAAGCAUUUGCCAAGGAUGUUUUCACUAAUCAAGAACGAAAGUUAGGGGAUCGAAGACGAUCAGAUACCGUCGUAGUCUUAACCAUAAACUAUGCCGACUAGGGAUCGGACGAUGUUAACUUUUCUUGACUCGUUCGGCGCCUUACG
rnacentral:rRNA from 1 species